rnacentral:rRNA from 1 species
AUUGAACGCUGGCGGCAGGCCUAACACAUGCAAGUCGAGCGGAGCGGCGGACGGGUGAGUAAUGCCUAGGAAUCUGCCUGGUAGUGGGGGAUAACGUCCGGAAACGGGCGCUACUACCGCAUACUAUCAGAUGAGCCUAGGUCGGAUUAGCUCGUAGGUGGGGUAACGGCUCACCUAGGCGACGAUCACUAGCUGGUCUGAGAGGAUGACCAGCCACACUGGAACUUGGACACGGUCCAGACUCCUACGGGAGGCAGCAGUGGGGAAUAUUGCACAAUGGGCGCAAGCCUGAUGCAGCCAUGUCGCGUGUAUGAAGAAGGCCUUCGGGUUGUAAAGUACUUUCAGCGGGGAGGCGUUACCCGAAGAAGAAGCACCGGCUAACUCCGUGCCAGCCGCCGCGGUAAUAC